GAAAACAAUAAAAAGACCUAAGGAUAUACACACUGAUCAGUCGUUUUUCCCCAUUCUUUUCCACACCCAUCGUCUCUUUCACUUGGGCAAAAAUAGAGGAGAACCCCAAGAACCUAAGUAGAAAAAAAAGUCUGCGCAAAAAAAGAAAAAGAAAAGGGUCAGCACCUCAUCUCACUCCAUCUUCCCACAGGCACGAAGCUUUAACACCAAAAAUCACAUGAAACUUUACUUUGAGGCUUCUCCUUUUUUGUCCCAUUAAGUGACUCGGUAGUCGCCUCUCCAUUUUCACUCUAUGGAUUACAUAUUUAAUGUUUUGGUUUUGAAAUCAAAAUGAGCUACGAUGAUUGAUAAAUUUGUGUGUAUUGGUUCAUAGUUUUGAGCUUACAAAUUUCAAAUAUGUUCUUGAAAGGAAAUGGAAGAUGUUUCGCUUACGUUGAAUUCUUCUAAUUCUUUGUUUAGCUCAUGUUGAGAUUUCAUAAAUCCGAUACUUUGUCUUCUUAAAAUUCCAGUAAAUCCAAACCAAGAAAAAAAUAUAUAUUGUGUUUCUUCCUUCCGAUUGGACUGUGAUUUCCAAAUAUGGAGUUUUACUGUGAUGCUAUUGAGGUGAGUCUGAGCUCGGUUCAGCGAGUUCAGCUCGUCUGCGGUUCUGCUUCGGAGUUCGUCAACUCUGUUUGAGGGAGGGUUUUUUGUUACACAAAAGUUUCAAAAGAAAAGUUUGUCCCCUGCUAUUGUGCUAUUCUCUAAGAAGUUAUAACAGGUUCUUUUCUUUUGCUCUAUGUUUGCUAGUUUCCUUUAUCAAGCAUGAUGGUGUCCAUGAUUAUUGGUAUUUUACUUCCCGGAUCAAUUAUUUUGUUUUGCUUAGAAGUUAGAUUUGUGUUUUCCUAAAUGAGCGUAUAUCUUUCUUUAAUCUAUUUUAUUUUGUAGAUUAAUAACUAUGGUGGCUAAUCUUUUAGUUUCAGUGCUCACGUGUUUAGAUCUUCUGUUUUCUUAUUAUGUUCAACUUUGCUAAAGUAUUGUGAGUGAAUGAAUGAAUGGGAUAUGGAGUAAUUUGCAAAGUUGUUUUCAUGGUAUUAUCGUGAUGGUGUACACAUUCGCUUGAUAUAAUUACGAUUCUAAAAUAAAUCGAGGUAUGCGUUCGUGCAACUUAGACCAAAAUUUUCUUAAAAUAAUUAAUAAAGCGUGAUUAGUUGUGGACACGUACGCAUGACACGAUUUUGACGCGCCGAACCAAAUGAUUACACGUACACGUGACUCGUUUCAAGAUAAUUUUCUUAAAUAAAAAACGGUAAAAGGUAAAUGCACAUAGGGUCUAAAAUAAGUAAUUAGAUAAUUUGAUUAAGCCAAGUAUGAUCAAAGCGACCGUGCUAAAACCACAGAACUCGGGAAUGCCUAAAACCUUCUCCCGAGUUAACAAAAUUCCUUACCCGGAUUUCUGUGUUCGCAGACCGUAAAUAGAGUCAACUUCCUUAAUUUGAGAUUUUAAACCGGUGACUUGGACACCAAUAAACUAUCCCAAGUGGCGACUAUAAUUUUUUAAAAAAAAAUAAUCCCGUUUUGAUUGUCACUUAAAUUGGAAAAAACUCCCUUACAUCCCCUUUUCGAGGUUAGUAAAAAGGAGGUGUGACAGUUGUGAGGUGGCUUGAUUAUUUGCAGGGGUGUUGUGAUCCCGUGUAGCUUGUGGUGUUAUGUGAUCAAGAUAGCUCUCGAGACGAAGAUCAUUUAUUGCACCCUAGUUGUUCUUGGGUUUUGUGAUGUAUGGCGCUAUCCGUUUCCCCAGGGUUAUAUUUUUGCACUUGGUGUGCUUGUGGUCGAUAUUCGGGUAUUUCGUAGGUAUAAGCAUUUUGGCUUGAUGGAUAUUACCCUAUUUAUUGUCAUGUGUGGAUCGGGUGGCACGCCGCAAUGGUAUCAUGUGUGAAUCGGGUUGCACGCUGCAACAGCGAGAUGUUGAGCAUGGUUCCUUAUAUUUAUUUGUGCGUCAUGUUUCUUUACUCUGAGAAAGGCUCAUAGUAUUUUAUGGUCAUUUUAUUCGUUACGCGGAUUAGAUAGUUCUUUCUAGGGUUCGUUCUUCCUAAUGUAUUAUAUUCGAGCUUGUAUCUUGUUGGUGCAUUGUGGCAUCAUAUGAGAUCUUUGUCAAUGUUUGAGGUGGCUUAUUGUCGAGUAGCGUGUGCUGGGGGAGACGAGAAUAUUGAACCUGGGAUAAGUGCAAUCGGAUUUAUAUAAGGCAUAUUAAAGUGCAAAUAUCGUUAUGUAGUUCAGAAUGUGGUUAUAGUUCUUGUCAGGAGGAGAGACUCAAUGAUUUGUUGAUUUGGCAUGUGGUUAUGAAUUUCUACGUAUCUCUUUCAUCGUGGAAGAACUGCAAGAGUUGGAAUAGGACUUACAUGCAUCAUGAGGUGCGUUAUGGGCAUCAGAUUCGUGGGAUUUAUUAUUGUCAGAGAAUGUUAUUAUGGUCAUGUGAAUUAUGCAGUGCAUGGUAUGAAUUCAGUAGAGGUAUGCAAUCAUGUAUUGGUCAUCAUUUAGUGAUUGAUACAGUGUUUGUAUGUUGGAAACAGACCUGGUAGAUAAUUUCAUAUGUUGGAAUUUGGUUCUAAGGCUUUUGACUAAAUAAAAGGGAGAAUCUUCAGACUCGUUCGAGCUAAUAUGAUCAACUGGGUUGUGGGAGCAUGGGUAGGUGCUCAAGGGAUUAAAUAGCGAUUUCGGAUUACUCCAUAGCAAUUCUUAGCACGUUUGAGGACAAAUGUAUGUUUAAAUGGGAGAGAAUGUAACUACUUGAGCAUUUGUUUUGAGAUCUAGCACGUCGUUUAGCGGUUUGAGGCCAUGAGUAGCUUCACUUCAGGUAUUAUGACUUGUACGUGUGGUCGGAAUUAAAUUUCGGGAAGUGCGGAGUUGAUUUGGAAAGAAAAUUCUAAUUUCGGAAGCUUUAAGUUAGAGGAAUUGACAAAGGUUUGAUUUUUGAGUAAACGACCUCAGAAUCGGGAUUUCAAGGUUUCAAUAGAUUCGCAUGAUAAUUUUGGACUUGGGCGUAUGUCGAGAUCGAGUUUUGGAUGACUCAGGAGCGUUUCGGCACCUGCUAUUGAAAGUUGACAUUAUGGAAGAAUUUCAUAAUUUGGGUUGAAGUAUAUUUUAAUGUUAUCAAUGUCCGUUUGGAAUUCUGAACCUGGGAAUAGCUCCGUAUGUUGAUUCUAGUCUUAGGAGCGCGUCUCAAUGUGGAUUUGGAGGUCUGUAUGUAAUUUUAGGGUCAUUUGGCAAAAGUUGGAAGUUAGAGGUUUUUGGAAGUUUGACCGAGAGUGGACUUUUUGAUAUCGGGGUUGGAUUCCGAUUCCGAAAGUUGAAGUAGUUUCAUAAUGUCAAAUGUGAAUUAUGUGCAAAAUUUGAGCUCAAUCGGAUGUGAUUUAAUAGGUUUCGGCAUCGAAUGUAGAAGUUUGAAGUUCUAGAGUUCAUUAACCUUGAAUUGGGGUGUGAUUCAAGGUUUUGACGUUGUUUGAUGUGAUUUGAGUCCACGAGGAAGUUUGUGUUAUGUUAUGGGAUAGGUUGGUGUGAUUGAAUGGGGUCCCGGGGACCUCGGGUAGAUUCUGGAUGGUCAACGGAUCGAGUUUGGACUCGGAAGAAGUGAUGAAGCAGCUAGCUGCCUUCUGGUAUAACCGCACCUACGAGGCUUUGGCCGCAGGUGCUGAGCCGCAGAAGCGAACAAGAGGGAUGCAUAUACGGAUUUUCGUGAGCAGUGCUGAGACCGUAGAUGUGGCCAUCUCGCCGCAGAAGCGGGACUGCCCUACAGAGGGGGGCAGCGUAGAAGCGUGGGCUCAGGUGCGCAUGAGGGCCGUAGAAGUGGCCAACGACCAUGGCUUGGUUUCUUGCAGGUGCGAGACUUGGAGCUUCAGAAGCGGCUGUCAUAGGGGUGACCUUCUUAUCGCAGAAGUGGAAUUUGUGCUGGGCAGUGAGGCUUCUUUAAAAACGGGAAUUCGGCCCAUUUUCAUCUCAUUUUGUCCAUGAGAGCAGAUUUUGGAGUGGCAUCUUCAUCGACUAUAAUGGUGUAUGUAAUUUCUUCACAUUGUGAAUUAAAUACAAGGUUCGUGUAUGGAUUUAGACAUGAAAAUUUGUAGAAAUUUGGGAUUUUGAAGAAAGACUUAGAAAUUAGUAUUUUUGGAUUUUGACCGCGAAAUUGGACAUGGAAUUUGGAAUAAUUAUAUAUUUGAGUUCGUAAUGUUUAUCUUCUAAAAAAUUCGGAAUCCGGGUAAGCGGGCCCGAGGGUGACUUUAUCGAUUUUUCAAGCGGAGUUGAAAAUUAUUAUAAAUUGAAUUUUAAUGAGUAUGAAAGUAUAUAUUUAUGGAUUUGCACAUUGAUUGACUAGUUUUUGAGCGAUGGACAUCGGUAUAAGUUGUUUUGAAAAGCUUUGGAGCCGGUUAUAGAAAUUCGGAGCGAGGUAAAUCUCUUUUCUAAUCUUGUAAGAGGGAAUUAACCCCAUAUGUGAAUUGAAUUAAUAUGUGCUUCAAUUAGUAGGGGCUACGUAUGCACGAGGUCACGAAAGUCCGUACAUAGCUACUAAUUAUACUUAUGUACAGGUAGUCUUAGAUUUACAUCAUCCCUUGUUGAUGCCGUUAUUUGUUUAUGCUUAUUAUUUGCCUUGAAAGAAGUUGAGAUUGAGGAUUUCGAGAUUUAAAAGUUUUCAGUUUCAAUUUCUUAUUUUUGAAAAGAAUCGAGGAAUAUUAUGAUAAAUUUGAGAAAUCUAUGUUCACUCGCAUCGUAAGUAUAUUUCGCGAGCGAGAUAAAUUCCACUACUCUCAUAAGAGAAGGCCUUUUGUCACGGCAGGUUAAUAUAUGCAUUUAUGGUUCGUACAAUUCGAUCGUCGGCAGUGCACAAUUUAUACAUUUGUAUGUUGGAUCGAGCCAUAUGACCUCGGCAUAAAUCGUGCAUAAAAAAAUCUUGGAUGUCCAAUUAUAAUCGAUAAUGUUUCAUUGGCUUGAGAGAUUAAUUUUUUUAAUGAUGAAAAUUUAUUUGGGAAUUACUAUCAGUGAAAGAAUUAUUUACUUAUUUCUAGUUAUUGAGUUUUCUGCUCUUUUUUUUUUACAUGAUCCAUGCUCAAUUAAAAUAUCGGUAUUUUAUUGUUAGCCCAUACCAAGUAUCGGAGUUGACCUCUUAUCACUACUUCUUUGAGAUUAGACUAGAUACUUACUGGGUGCGCAUUGAUUUACGUACUCAUAUUACACUUGCUGUACAUUUUGUGCAGGUAGAUUAUGUCUUUGUUGUCUUGUGGGCACAGAGGUGCAGCUAUUGCGGGGACUUAGGUGAGUUGUAUCCCAUGUUAUGAGUCCGCAGAACAUAGAGUCUCCAUCAGAGUUAUUACACUCUCCUAUCUAAUCUGUUUUCCAGACAGAUAUUGUAAUUUACCAUAUUUCCUAGUUGAUGCUCAUGCACUUGUGACACCGAAUUUUGGGGUUGCUUAUGGGUUGUUCAUUAUUGUAGUGGCGAAAAAUAUUAUCAUUUACCCUGUAAAUUUUAUUUCUUACUAUUUAAUUGAAGGAAGUUAUGAUUUUAAAUA
rnacentral:lncRNA from 1 species